rnacentral:snRNA from 1 species
UUACAUCCCAGAAAAUAAUAUCU